rnacentral:lncRNA from 1 species
CACGACAUGGUGACAGUUUCGAGAUCAGCUGUAUAAUUGUGAUUGAAUCGAAGAUCCAAACCAGGAAAAGAAAUCGAAACACCACCCGUAUGCGGUGUCCCGUGACUUGUCCAAUCGAAAAGAAAACACCUUUGUCUACGAGACUGGAGAUUAGACACUCCACGCAAGGAUCCAAAGGAGAGGAAUUACAUUUUCCCUCGUACUAAAACAAAGGGGGUGUGAUCAGCACGUGAAAUACAAGAAAAAGCUGUACAAAGACUCAUACAUGGCGACCAGAGCUAGCUUCGCAGCA